rnacentral:rRNA from 1 species
AAGAUGGCGACCGGCGCACGAGUGAGUAACACGUAUCCAACCUGCCGAUAACUCCGGAAUAGCCUUUCGAAAGAAAGAUUAAUACCGGAUGGCAUACGAAUAUCGCAUGAUAUUUUUAUUAAAGAAUUUCGGUUAUCGAUGGGGAUGCGUUCCAUUAGUUUGUUGGCGGGGUAACGGCCCACCAAGACUACGAUGGAUAGGGGUUCUGAGAGGAAGGUCCCCCACAUUGGAACUGAGACACGGUCCAA